UACGAAGGGGGCUAGCGUUGCUCGGAAUCACUGGGCGUAAAGCGCACGUAGGCGGAUUGCUAAGUCAGGGGUGAAAUCCUGGAGCUCAACUCCAGAACUGCCUUUGAUACUGGCGACCUUGAGUCCGGGAGAGGUGAGUGGAACUGCGAGUGUAGAGGUGAAAUUCGUAGAUAUUCGCAAGAACACCAGUGGCGAAGGCGGAUCUCUGGGCCGAUACUGACGCUGAGGAGCGAAAGCGUGGGGAGCGAACAGG
rnacentral:rRNA from 1 species